rnacentral:rRNA from 1 species
AAAUAUUAAUAUAAUAUAAAAAAUUUUUAUUUUAUUAAAAAUCAAAUAUGAUUUUAUUAAUCUAAAGUUAAGUUUUAAUUUUUUUACUGAGAAGGCAUAUUAAAUAAACAUAAAGUAGAAAAAUUUCUUAUCUUUGGUAUCAAAGUAAAUAGAAUAGAAAUUAAAUUAAAAUUUCCCGAAAUAAAAAGAUUUUUUAAUAUGAAAAUAAAAAGUGUCAAUUUUAUUUACAAAUAUUGAAGGAAUUAAGAAAUUAUUCGUUUUUUAUUAUCUGGUUCUUUAAAUUUGUUAGAGGCUAAAAUUUUAUAAAUAUAAAAGAUAAGUUUUAUAUUUUAAAUUAUACAAUUUAUAUUUCCAUUAAUUUACUUUAUGAAAUCCUCAUUGCAUAAAUUGGAAUUUUAGACCUUAAAAAUUUUUAUUUUUAAAUUAUCAAUUAAAGAAAGAUAAAAAUUAAAAAAAAUUUAAUUUUAUUAUUUAAUUAUUAUUUAAUUAAUUUGAAAAUGAAUGUUUUUAUAUGGAAUCAACAUAAUAACGACAGUUUAACAAAAACAUAGUUUUAUAAAUUUUUAUAAAGUUAAAUCCUGCUCCAUGAAAUUUAAAUAGCUGCGGUAAAUCGUGCAAAGGUAGCAUAAUCAAUUGUCUUUUUAUUAAGGUCUGGAAUAAAAGAUUAAACGAUUUUUAUGUAUUUGUAUGAAGAUCUUAAAAAAUUUAAAUUUUGAAUCAAAAUGUUCAAAUUUUUUAAAGGGACGAGAAGACCCUAAAAUUUUUAUAAAUAAAACUUAUAUAAGUAAAAUUUAUUUAAUUGGGGAAAUUUUUUGACUAAACUCAUUAUAAAAAAACCAUAUUUUAUGAAUUAAUAAGAGAAACUCUAAAUUAAAGAAUAAUUACUUUAGGGAUAACAGCACAAUAAUAAAAAAGGAGAUCUAAUUUAAUUUUAUGAUUGUGACCUCGAUGUUGAAUUAAGAUAACUUUAUUUGUAGAAAUUUAAAGUUUUAGACUGUUCGUCUACUCGGUCUUACAUGAUUUGAGUUCAGACCGACGUAAGUCAGGUCAGAUUCUAUCUUUUUUAAUUUAUCGUGUGUACGAAAGGAUAAUGAAUAAAAAAUUAAAAAUUUUGACUAAUUGUAA